GUGACAGUAACCACAAUGAUAGAUGGACCAACAACAAUAACCUUAAGUGCAACGACACCAAUCUUAAGACAAAAGACGACCGCUGUUUAAGUGGCACGUGCGUAGGAACGCCCUACAACUGCCUGUCCUGUGAAACGCAUGACGGCAGCGGCUGUCCAAUUGAGCCUGGAUAUUGCAUAAUACAGCAGGAGGGCCAAAGAAAAUGUUACGCAACGAAUCACUACAAGCCAGGAAAUCCUUGUCAGAGAUGCGACAUAAGUAAAAAUGUAAGUACCUGGUCAGACAAUGAUGGGGUAGCGUGCAACGAUGGUGACCGCUGUACUCGAAAUGAUAAUUGCAGUAAUGGCCAGUGUAGGGGCACACUUUUCAGCUGUAACUCUAUAUGUCAGUACUGUAAUGGGAACAGUUGUGGCCUCAAGACUGAGUGUGGAUUUUCCAGCAGCAAAUGCAAAUGUAAAAGAAUCGGUGAGACCUUUUGUUUAGCAAACGAAAAUCAUACAUGUGAACCGCGGAUUAAGAAAUGAAUAUGAAAAGAAUCUUUGCAGUAAUGAACACCACACAAGCAGCAGUGAAAAAUAAGCCAGCUCUCAGGCUAGUUAGCUCGGUUGGUAAAGCACUGCACUAUAAGCAGUGUUCAUUUCUGCGCAGAUAGCUUUCAUAUUCAUUUCUCAUUACGUAUUUCACAUACAUGAUUUUCAUAUAUCCACUUUCAAUUAAACUGAGCUUACCCUUUUUUCCUUUCAUUUCAGGUAAUUAUGUUUCUGUUGUAAUGCUAAAAGGGCCCAUAUAUAAAUUACAAGACAGCUUUUUAAGGGGAAAAACCGACUUUUAAUUUCAGGCCAAGACUACGAUUAUCACGCCUUAUAUCCAUCAAAUCCAAAUGUAAUGUAAAUCCAAAUUCUGCAAGGUCUUAUAAUGGCUUCUGUAAUCAAUGAGAAUGUCACUUAUGUAGAUAAAAGGUAAUCUUUCUGCCUUCUGCGCGUGAAUUCGGCCUCAUACAACCAAUCCUGAACGGUUUAAUGGUUCAAGACAAAAGGAUUUACCCACUCUAUAUACGCCAUGAUAUCCCUUUCAUUGGUAUUACUAUUUCAUGGACGCAAUUUUUUUUUUCGCCUUUAAAGGUAAUCUCUCUGCCUUCUGCACACGAUUUCGUUUUCAUACAAACAAUACCGAACGAUUAAAUGGUUCUUAGCGAACAGACUUAUCCACAUUAUAUGCGCCAUUAAAAUCCCUUUCAUUGGUAUGACCAUUUCAUGGACGCGGUAUUUUCUUAUCUUCACCUUUAGCGAUUUUCGAAGUGGCAGACCAAUGUUUAUUAUAAGACUAAACAUUGUGGCAGUCUAAUUUUAUCACAAUGUUUGGCUAUUCAAUUUUUGUCUUUAUGGUAUUGAAAUAUAUAAUGUAAUUGUCAAAUGUGAAUGAAUACACCUAAUCUUAUUUUAUUCCGGCAUGAAUGUUAUUAAAACUGGGGAAUGAAAUCAGUUUGGGAGACGUAAAAGCCAAAAUGUUAUAUAAAUCAUCUUAUAACGUGUUGGAAUGUUCAUAGUUUGAAACUUUAAGAUAAAAUUUCAAAUUUCAUUAAUAAUUUCUCCACUCUCAGCAUCUUAUAAAGUUGAAUUUGGAAAACAUUUAUAAGAAUCUAGAGAGGGAGACGUAAAAGCCAAAAUGUUAUAUAAACCAUCCUAUAACGUGUUGGAAUGUUCAUAGUUUGAAACUUUAAGAUAAAAUUUCAAAUUUUAUUAAUAAUUUCUCUACUCUUGGCAUCUUAUAAAGUUGAAUUUAGAAAUCAUUUAUAAGAAUCUAGAGAGGGAGACGUAAAAGCCAAAAUGUUAUAUAAACCAUCUUAUAACGUGUUGGAAUGUUCAUAGUUUGAAACUUUAAGAUAAAAUUUCAAAUUUUAUUAAUAAUUUCUCUACUCUUAGCAUCUUAUAAAGUUGAAUUUGGAAAACAUUUAUAAGAAUCUAGAGAAGGACCAGUACUGCUGCACGAUAAAGAGAAUCUUUUCACUUUCAUUUCAUCAUACCAUUCACUUAACCUGCAAAGCUUACUCAUGUUAAAAGUUAAAAUUAUCAUGAUUUUGAUACGAUCUAUUAAUAAUGUUUUUCUCUUUUUAUAAGGUCUGAAUCUACUGCUGUCCAAACUGUUAAUAAGUUAUAGAUGUUAGCUGACUCAGUCGAUUCAGUUGCCAAGCCGAACGAGGAAAACAAGUUUAGAAAUCUUCAUAGCUAGUUUUAUUUCUCUUGGGUCAAGAUUAGAUGCCAGGAAGGAAAGAAAAUGGAAAACAAGGGUUUUUGAAAGUUUUUAGAUAAUUCAAUAUCAAGUUCAAACUUUUACCAAAAUUUGAAUUGUCUUAUAUCAGUUAGGUCUCGGCGAGUCUUUCUAAGGUCGAGUUUAUCUUUAAAAUUAGUUACUUCACAAUGUUUCAAAAGCCAGUGCCUGCCAUGCAGUUUUUUUUAUUUCAAAUCAUGCCCUGUGACUGAAAGCAAUAUAUAGAUCUAUGGCUAACUCGUAUUUUAGCGUUCUUUGGGAGUUUUCAUCCACAGAACUUUGAUGCAAUGGUAACGUCUGACUGGCAAUAUGUACCUAGAACACCAAUAACACGUCUUGUAAAGAACGAACAGUACCAAAGCUUCCAACCUAUCGUUUGGCCCGAAGAGUCCGUCUCCUAUGUAAGUCGCCAUAUGGAAAAUCGCGUUGGAAGAGGAAUACUCUCGGAUGACAAUGAUAGUUGCGCACCAUAACAGAGCAAUAAUACUCCGCAACAUGGCUUAAAUGAUGUUGUGAUCGAGCCUUUAAAG